AUUGAACGCUGGCGGCAGGCCUAACACAUGCAAGUCGAGCGGAGCGGCGGACGGGCGAGUAAUGCCUAGGAAUCUGCCUGGCAGUGGGGGAUAACGUCCGGCAACGGGCGCUAACACCGCAUACUAUCAGAUGAGCCUAGGUCGGAUUAGCUAGUUGGUGGGGUAAAGGCGGACCAAGGCGACGAUCCGUAGCUGGUCUGAGAGGAUGAUCAGUCAAACUGGAACUGAGACACGGUCCAGCAGUCUACGGGAGGCAGCAGUGGGGAAUAGUGCAAGAUGGGCGCAAGCCGGAUGCAGCCAUGCCGCGGGUAUGAAGAAGGCCUUCGGGGUGUAAAGUACUUUCAGCGGGGAGUCGUUACCGGCAGGAGAAGCACAUGCUAACUCCGUGCCAGCAGCCGCGGUAAUUC
rnacentral:rRNA from 1 species